rnacentral:rRNA from 1 species
AUUGAACGCUGGCGGCAGGCCUAACACAUGCAAGUCGAACGGUAACAGAAAGCAGCUUGCUGCUUUGCUGACGAGUGGCGGACGGGUGAGUAAUGUCUGGGAAACUGCCUGAUGGAGGGGGAUAACUACUGGAAACGGUAGCUAAUACCGCAUAACGUCGCAAGACCAAAGAGGGGGACCUUCGGGCCUCUUGCCAUCGGAUGUGCCCAGAUGGGAUUAGCUAGUAGGUGGGGUAACGGCUCACCUAGGCGACGAUCCCUAGCUGGUCUGAGAGGAUGACCAGCCACACUGGAACUGAGACACGGUCCAGACUCCUACGGGAGGCAGCAGUGGGGAAUGUUGCACAAUGGGCGCAAGCCUGAUGCAGCCAUGCCGCGUGUAUGAAGAAGGCCUUCGGGUUGUAAAGUACUUUCAGCGGGGAGGAAGGGAGUAAAGUUAAUACCUUUGCUCAUUGACGUUACCCGCAGAAGAAGCACCGGCUAACUCCGUG